rnacentral:lncRNA from 1 species
AGAGGUAGAAACUUCACCCAGAGAACUUUCUGGAAAAUUAACUGCGUAUUUGCGUAAAGAGCACUGCAUUUGGAGACCAGGAGAAAAAGGUCACCAUCAGAAAAGCUAAGUUUGCUAUACAGUAAGGAUCAGGAGAUCUGAUCCUGAUUGCAGAGCCACCCCUGAUUGCAGAAUCCUGGGUUGUGUCUCCCAUUUCAUCCUUCCAGACCACCCCAGAAGAUCUGUAAGAGUCCAUCUGGGAAAUCACUAGGAAUUCUUGGAAGGGAAAGAAGGAUUGUUGGU